rnacentral:snoRNA from 1 species
AUGCUUUGCUUAAUUAUAAUUUGAGUCGCACACACUUUUGUGGUGUGUCAUUUUACAAGUGAAGCUAGAAACAUUGUUCCUCUCGCUAUCCUUUGCUCCUUUUUGUGUUGUAUUUGGACGUUGGGGAACUACAUUA